GACCAAGGAGUCUAACACGUGCGCGAGUCGCAGGGUCGUACGAAACCCGAGGGCGUAACGAAAGUGAACGAGAUCUUCGGAUCUAUCGGGUGGGAUCUCGAAGCCUUUUCAACGGGGCGACGGGCGCACCACCGGCCUGUCUCGGCCGCAGCGUCGGCGAGGCGGAGCAAGAGCGUACGCGUUGGGACCCGAAAGAUGGUGAACUAUGCCUGAGCAGGAUGAAGCCAGAAGAAAUUCUGGUGGAGGUCCGCAGCGAUUCUGACGUGCAAAUCGAUCGUCAAA
rnacentral:rRNA from 1 species